CAUCUGGGGAAGCCGGAGGACGACUUGCAGGAGUCAGUUCUCUCCUUCCAUGGUCUGGGUCCUUGGGACCUAACUCAAGUCACCAGGUUUAGCCGAAAGUACCUUUACAGGCUGAGCCACAGCAGCGGCCCACAUGUAUUUCUCUUUUCCUAUAAAUGUGCAUGAAGCUUAUAUUUGUAUUUGUAAAACCUUGAAAAACAUACAAGAAUUGUUAAUCAAAUUGCCCAGAGGAUUAGGAUAAAAACAGAGUGCAAGGGACCAUUUAUAGUUUAUUUCAGACAUUUGCCUAUUAUUUGAACUUUUGAGGCUUGUGUGUGCGCACACACGUGUGAGUGUGUAGGUAUGCGUGUCUAUGUGCAUAUGCAUGUGGAAGUCAGAGGACAGAGGACGACCGCCAGUGUCGCUGCUCUUUCUUGAAACAGGACCCCUCACUGGCUUGGACCUUGCCUGAUAGGCUAGCCUGGCCAGCAGCUGGCGAACCUCAGGGUCUAGCUGCUUCUGCUUCCCCAGAACAGUGAGUCCAAGGGUGCAGCACAGUCCUUUGGCAUGAGUUCUGAGGACCAAACUCAAGUCCUUGCGCCUGCAAAACAAGCACAUUACCAACUGAGCCAUCUCUCCAACCCCACAAAAGAAGAGAUUGUUAAAGAGCUAUGUUCCUUCAGGAACCAUGUACUGCAUGUCUUUUAUAUGCUAGACAGGGCGAGGCUUUUAUAACCAUAGGAACAAGCAGCAGGAAGACGAAAAGAAUUAAAUAAGAAGGCCUCUUGGACACUCAGGAGAGGGUGCCAGCUGUCACUUAGUGAACUGUUAAAGGAAUGGUGCAGAGACACCUCCAGGUGGCUAGAGGGCGCUCUCAUUCCAGUUUGACAGUGAAGACGAUCUGCCAAGUGACCUCAGAAGCUUCAUGAGGGAGGCUCCAGAGGCAGUGGUUUUGGGCAAAUGGAAGAGGUAUCUGGAGAAAAACUAACAGGAACAGCGCAUGUCUCAGUCAUCUGCUGUGAUGCAAUACUCUAACAAAACGACUUCAGGUUUAUUUCAGCUUACCAUUCAAGGCAAAGUCCAUCAUGGCAAGAAAGUUAAGGCAGGAGCGCUUGAAGCAGCUGGUCACACACUCCAGACACAGGGGAGGGUAAAUGCAUGCUACUCAGCAACUUCUCUCCAUGUAGACAGUCAAGGAUCCCAGCCGAAGAAUGGUGCCACCCACAGUGGCCAGGUUUCCCUGCCUCAAGAUAAUCUCCCACGGGUGUGCUCAGGACCCUAUGUAUCAGGUGGAGAGGGUCCUCUUGCAUGUGUUCCACCACCACAGCGUCCUGCUUCAUCUGUCACAGAUCCUAAGUCAGCUAAGCCGAGGACUGUGAAAUCAAAUGAGCCGGCGAGCCAAAAUAAACCAUUAUUCCUUUUAA